rnacentral:rRNA from 1 species
UACGUAGGGGCCGAGCGUUGUCCGGAGUUAUUGGGCGUAAAGCGCGCGCAGGCGGCCUCGCGCGCCCGACGUGAAAGCCCCCGGCUUAACCGGGGAGGGUCGUUGGGGACGGCGGGGCUUGAGGGCGGGAGAAGGUGGUGGAAUUCCCGGUGUAGUGGUGAAAUGCGUAGAGAUCGGGAGGAACACCCGUGGCGAAGGCGGCCCCCUGGGCCGACCCUGACGCUGAGGCGCGAAGGCGUGGGGAGCGAACGGG